GGGCGCGUAGCGCAAUGGUUAGAGCGUUUCGUUUACACCGAAAAGGUUAGAGGUUCGACUCCUCUCGCGCCCA
rnacentral:tRNA from 4 species